rnacentral:rRNA from 1 species
CCUGGCGGCGACAGCGCGGUGGUCCCACCUGACCCCAUGCCGAACUCAGAAGUGAAACGCCGUAG